AGAGUUUGAUCCUGGCUCAGAUUGAACGCUGGCGGCAGGCCUAACACAUGCAAGUCGAGCGGAUGAAGGGAGCUUGCUCCCUGAUUUAGCGGCGGACGGGUGAGUAAUGCCUAGGAAUCUGCCUGGUAGUGGGGGAUAACGUUCCGAAAGGAACGCUAAUACCGCAUACGUCCUACGGGAGAAAGCAGGGGACCCUCGGGCCUUGCGCUAUCAGAUGAGCCUAGGUCGGAUUAGCUAGUUGGUGAGGUAAUGGCUCACCAAGGCGACGAUCCGUAACUGGUCUGAGAGGAUGAUCAGUCACACUGGAACUGAGACACGGUCCAGACUCCUACGGGAGGCAGCAGUGGGGAAUAUUGGACAAUGGGCGAAAGCCUGAUCCAGCCAUGCCGCGUGUGUG
rnacentral:rRNA from 1 species